CACGUAGGGCGCAAGCGUUGUCCGGAAUUAUUGGGCGUAAAGAGCUCGUAGGCGGUCUGUUACGUCUGCUGUGAAAACCCGGGGCUUAACCCUGGGCUUGCAGUGGAUACGGGCAGACUAGAGGCAGGUAGGGGAGAAUGGAAUUCCCGGUGUAGCGGUGAAAUGCGCAGAUAUCGGGAGGAACACCGGUGGCGAAGGCGGUUCUCUGGGCCAUAACUGACGCUGAGGAGCGAAAGCGUGGGGAGCGAACAGG
rnacentral:rRNA from 1 species